rnacentral:misc_RNA from 1 species
CUAUGGAGGGAAAAAAAAUAGUAGCAUGUUCAAAACCAAAAAUCAAAUAUUGUCACACUCACACCUUAGGCAACUCAGCAAAUUAUGAUGCUACUUUUUUUCCAGGAAGGAAAUAGUCAGUUCAGGUGAUCAUACAAAACCAAGUGAUUAAAUCAAACAACACUAUACUAAUUAAAAUUUAGCUUAUAAUACAUCAUGAGCUGAAUAUGGAGGUGAUGAAAAAACUACUUUACACAUGGCUGACCAGCGUCAGUGUAAGGGUAAUUAAUGGAUAAAAGCAGUGCCAUAAAAGUUUCACACAACAGUGGUAGUUAGCCAUUACCUCUCCUCUGUACUCGGCUUUCAAACUGUAUAAAUGUUCAACCAACAACAAAACAAUGUGUUCAUCACAUCACUUAGGAUUCCAUGAACUGUGAGGGUGGUGGGCUUGUUUUUGUCUUCUCAGGACCAUAAACCCCACGAAUUUCCACUUCUCGCCAUUCUUGCACAAGGGCACAGCAACAACACAUCAAAUGAGAGAGAAAAUCAUCAACAAAUCCUCCCUGCCAAAAGAAAAGGCGUAAAGUUAAGAGGCACAAAAAUUUGGAAGCUUAAUAUAUAGUUACCCAAGUGCGUGAAUGAUGGUAGUAGAUCUUAAAUUGGACAUCUAAUACUUUGUGAAUUCUUGAUACGUGUCUAAUAUUGAUUAAUGGGAUGAUUUGUAUAAAAGGGAACAAUCUCUGUAAUUUGGUAUUGUUAACAUGAAUGAAGUCUUGAUUCUUCUCACUGAUAAUCCCUUCCUUCCUUAAAUUCUUCUAUUCUUCUAUGUUUCUCCCCCUUCUGGUUCACUUUUCUCCUUUGGCUUGCAUCAAUUCCCUCAUUAUAAGCACACACUAUAACUCAUUAAACCUCCAAUAAAUCCCAGAGGAAAAAAUAAAAAAUCUUCUUCCCCUCCUAUUUUAUUUUCUUUUUUCUCAUAUCAUAAAUACUCGUGUGCAUUUUCUUAUAUAUUUCCGAGACUUAGUAGGCUAUUCAACCAAUAUUUUAUAUUUUGGAAGAUAGAUUCACACUUAAUAAGACCAAAUUAAGGAGUUAAGGGCUCAAUAGAACACCUUCAAAUCAAGAGCUCAUUAGCAAAAACAUAGUUCAAGGUUUAGCAAAUACUUUCUAGAUGUAUGCAAUAAAUUCCAAUGUUUCAAUUUUAAAGUCAUUUUAAGUUUAGCAAUGAUAAUCACAGUUUUAUGAGCACUUGGUUCUUAUUAACAUAAUCCAGGUUUGAGCCUUGGACACAAAGGCAUUGAUUUCAACUGUAAUAUUCCUUACAGGAUUUGUACCCUCAAUGUUUGUCUAAGCACGACAUAUAUCCUUAUAACAUUGUAUGAACAUGAUAGAUCACGUUUGCAAAAACAUGAGAGAAUCUUGACCCAUUUUUUAUACAAGGCAGGUAGACACACAAAAGGAGAUCAGUUAUUGAAGUUCUCAUUUCCCUAAACCUUAAGGAAUAUCCACAGAAAGAAAAAAGAGGG